CACAGGAUGGGUCGGCUCUCGACACUGGGCUGGUCGCUCUGGUUUACACCAAAUCCAACCACUCGUGGCCUGCAGAUCCUCAGUAUAAAUCGCUGGAAAAGCCUGACCUUGACAACCUCAUUCCUCAUUCCUUUCUUGUUACAGACAAGAGGCCUUUGGGUUGCAAUCUGAAGGUGGACCAGGCAGUGGAUUGUGAAGGCGAUUGGGUUGUUGCUGGAAGGCUUGGAAUUGAAUUCUCAUUGGGUAUUCAGGAGGAUGAAGGCAUUUCCCAGGCAGCUUCACAGAAACAAGGGAGGUAUUCCCACCACGAUGUCAUCCACCACAGUGCAAUGCAGCCAGAUGGCCCCUUGAAAGAACCAGUGCUAUGCUCUUUGGACUUUCAGCCUCCAAAACUGUGAGCUAAAUAAACCUCUCUCUUUAUAGGUUAACAGAAAGUAUACUAAUGUAUCAGCUAUAUGUUAGACUGGGCAGAGCUGAGUAUAUUGCCCCUGAAAUAUAGAACCAAGAAAUACGGAUGGUCCAG
ensembl:lncRNA